GACAGCUGAGAGUCAUUUCCUCAUCUUUAUUCCAAACGAAGCUGGACACUCCCUUUUCAUUUUUGAAAAGUAAUCUGUGUGAGAAGGCAGCCAGCAUGUUUACCCACUGGGCUUGGAGCCAGACUUCUUUCCCUGGUUCUUCCUCUCUCUGUUUCUCAAUCUCCCCUGCUCUAAGAUGGCCAGAUAUGAAAAGCUGCCAAUCGGGAUGCCAGAACAUCAAAGAGAUCUCUCAUGAGAGCACACAAAGUCCCAUUUGUUCAGCACUUGGACGGAGAUGCCAGCAGCUUCCAGGCAGAGGGAGAAUCGAAGCAAGUUCAAACUCAGAAGGCGAAAGUCCAGCGGAAAGUACCGGAACUGAGGGAAAACUAUUUGCCUAACCACCCACACCACUGAAUGCUUUCUUGGAAUCUGCUGUGUGUUUAAGAUGAUAUCCUACCCACACACAUGUAACCUUUACCUUUUUGCAAACCAAAUCUGAUUCUACAAGGAAAGCACA
rnacentral:lncRNA from 1 species